rnacentral:lncRNA from 9 species
UGGACCAGGCACCAGCCACAUGCUCAGUAGCCACUGUGGCUACCAGGCCAGUCAGGGCCCCUGAAACUCAAACUCUCGGAUUCUUCAAGGAGUUUUUCUGACUCCAUCCUGCCCUCGCCUCACUGUGGUGCCUAUCGCUGCCGUGUUCUGACCACCGGCAUCUGCUUUCAGACCUCCCGGGUCCUGUGAGUUCUGAGUAAUCCCAGGUACCUAUCAUGUAACAAGAGAGCCUUGUAGUUUCCCGGGAGAUGAACUUGAUACUUCCCAGUGUUUCUUCCGAGAACAUAAAGUCCUCAUCUUUGAAGAUGCCUGUUUUCUUCAUGUGCGUUCGCGGCAGGGCCGGUCCGCACAGGCCAGUCUCCCCAGCGGGGGGCGGGGGGGGUGCUGAGCAUGGACUCAGGAAGCCACCCGCAUUCCAUGGGGGGACUCAGGACAGGCUGUCACCACAAGAGUUGCAGUCUCUGAAGCAAAAAGAACCAACACAACAAACAAACAAGGUAUCGCUCCAAGCCCGGUUGCAUUUCAAGAUCUCCAGGAAGUCAGACGGGAACUCCAGGACCCACGAGGAAGUCCGGCAGCGUGUUUGGAAGGUCAGCUACAUGGAGGACAGGGAUGGGCACUCUGGACGGACAGGAGGAACAGGACAGCAUUAGGGAUGCCUCAGUGGUGUGGUACCAGGAGAUUCCUGGGUGCCUCUCUGUUACUGUUUUGUUCUUUGCUGGAAUGACUGCCUAUCAAAAUACCAUCCCAGGCAUCAUGGAGAAAAGUAUCUUUUUCUGAUUAUGAGCACAGGGUCCAGAACCAGACACUGUCUGAGACACUAGCUCAAAUCCUAGAGCUGCCCAAUUAUCACUCGUGUUACCUCGGACCACAUACUUAAACCUUAGCUCCCUAAACCUCAAAAUGAUGAUAACGGCUCAAAGGAUUAUCCUGAGGGGGCGUAUUCAUAUUACAUGCAAAGGUUUCGAAGGAUCCCGGUCACAUGGAAAAUACUCUGGGAUUUUUACCUGGGGGGGGUGAUCACUCCCACUGCUACUGUGCUGAUGUUAUAUUAUUAAUCUCGAGGAAUAUUAAAUGAUUCCCAGGACCAUAAAAUUCUUAGUUGAGAGAAGCACUGGAAGAAACUGAUAAUGACUGAGCUUUAAGCUGAAAGGAAGAGAGGCAAUGAGUUUAGAACAGUCAUCAAUCUCACUGCACGGACUCUGAGUCGGCUCUCAAUUAUCUGUGCUAAUAGAGAGGAGAAAAUAAUUCCAGAACAACAGCUGACCCGACAAACUGGCAUUUUUUAAAUUGAAAUCCCAUCCGAGAUACAGACAUACAACCUAUCAGCUGAUGGUCUGUGUCCUGACGAGGCUCUUGGUCCUGGAUGCUGGCAGGUGCCUGACAUUCCGCUGCAUCCCUGACAGAGGUCUUGACCUUGCUGGUGACCUGUACCCGCCAGCCUCGCAGCGCUCCACGGCCCUGACUGUGGAAGAGCCUUGCUGGAAAACUCACCACCACAUGCACUGUCAACCACGCCUUACCCCAAGCCUCCCCACUGCAGCUCCCUUAGCUUAUUUUCCU